UGACAGAAGAGAGAGAGCACGACCAUAAUCAGGUGAUGCAUCCAAGUGUGAAGAGAUCAGCGAACCCUUGGAGCCUGAUAAGUGGGAACAUGAAAAAAAAUGAAGAAAAAAUAAAUAAAUAUAACAGUUGUAAAUAAAUCAAAUGAGCUCACUUUCAAGGGCUUGUAAAUCUUGUCAGAGUGGACACU
rnacentral:miRNA from 1 species